GACGAACCGUGCGAACGUUGUUCGGAAUCACUGGGCUUAAAGGGCGCGUAGGCGGCUCAUCAAGUCAGGGGUGAAAGCUUCCGGCUCAACCGGAAAAGUGCCUUUGAUACUGGUGGGCUUGAGGGAGGUAGGGGCAGAUGGAACUUCCGGUGGAGCGGUGAAAUGUGUUGAUAUCGGAAGGAACGCCGGUGGCGAAAGCGAUCUGCUGGAUCUCUACUGACGCUGAGGCGCGAAAGCUAGGGUAGCGAACGGG
rnacentral:rRNA from 1 species